rnacentral:rRNA from 1 species
GACGAACGCUGGCGGCGUGCUUAACACAUGCAAGUCGAACGGAAAGGCCCUGCUUUUGUGGGGUGCUCGAGUGGCGAACGGGUGAGUAACACGUGAGUAACCUGCCCUUGACUUUGGGAUAACUUCAGGAAACUGGGGCUAAUACCGGAUAGGAGCUCCUGCUGCAUGGUGGGGGUUGGAAAGUUUCGGCGGUUGGGGAUGGACUCGCGGCUUAUCAGCUUGUUGGUGGGGUAGUGGCUUACCAAGGCUUGGACGGGUAGCCGGCCUGAGAGGGUGACCGGCCACAUUGGGACUGAGAUACGGCCCAGAGGCCUACGGGAGGCAGCAGUGGGGAAUAGUGCACAAUGGGCGGAGGCCUGAUGCAGCAACGCCGCGUGCGGGAGGACGGCCUUCGGGUUGGAAACCGCUUUCGCCUGUGACGAAGCGUGAGGGAGGGUAAUGGGUAAAGAAGCACCGGCUAACUACUG